GAAAUGCGAUAAGUAAUGUGAAUUGCAGAAUUCAGUGAAUCAUCGAAUCUUUGAACGCACAUUGCGCCCGCCAGUGUUCUGGCGGGCAUGCCUGUUCGAGCGUCAUUACAACCCUCAGGCCCCCGGGCCUGGCGUUGGGGAUCGGCGGAAGCCCCCUGCGGGCACAACGCCGUCCCCCAAAUACAGUGGCGGUCCCGCCGCAGCUUCCAUUGCGUAGUAUCUAACACCUCGCAACUGGAGAGCGGCGCGGCCACGCCGUAAAACACCCAACUUCUGAAUGUUGACCUCGAAUCAGGUAGGAAUACCCGCUGAACUUAAGC
rnacentral:misc_RNA from 1 species